AUAGAGCAACAGCUUCUAUGCAGAUUCAGUGAGCCCCGUUAGUCUUCUCCGUGUCGCCAAACUCAGGAAGAUUAUCGGGGUUUUCUUUU
rnacentral:antisense_RNA from 1 species